rnacentral:rRNA from 1 species
AUUGAACGCUGGCGGCAGGCCUAACACAUGCAAGUCGAGCGGAUGAAGGGAGCUUGCUCCUGGAUUCAGCGGCGGACGGGUGAGUAAUGCCUAGGAAUCUGCCUGGUAGUGGGGGAUAACGUCCGGAAACGGGCGCUAAUACCGCAUACGUCCUGAGGGAGAAAGUGGGGGAUCUUCGGACCUCACGCUAUCAGAUGAGCCUAGGUCGGAUUAGCUAGUUGGUGGGGUAAAGGCCUACCAAGGCGACGAUCCGUAACUGGUCUGAGAGGAUGAUCAGUCACAAUAGAGGUACGACGACGUGGAGCAGACUCCGGGAGGAAGCAGUGGGGAAUAUUAGACGACGGGCGGCAAAAUGAUCAAGCAGCGACGCGUCUGGGGAGAAGGUCUUCGGAUUGUAAAGCACUUUAAGUUGGGAGGAAGGGCAGUAAGUUAAUACCUUGCUGUUUUGACGUUACCAACAGAAUAAGCACCGGCUAACUUCGUG